rnacentral:rRNA from 1 species
UACGUAGGGGGCAAGCGUUGUCCGGAAUCAUUGGGCGUAAAGCGCGCGUAGGCGGCCCUGUAAGUCCGUUGUGAAAGUCAAAGGCUCAACCUUUGAAAGCCGAUGGAUACUGCAGGGCUAGAGUCCGGAAGAGGCGAGUGGAAUUCCUGGUGUAGCGGUGGAAUGCGCAGAUAUCAGGAGGAACACCGGUGGCGAAGGCGGGUCCCUGGGCCGAUACUGACGCUGAGGAGCGAAAGCGUGGGGAGCGAACAGG